UGCCUGUGAGGGGACCCAGCCUGUGAGGGGACCCAGCCUGUGGGAGAAUUGCCUUUCUGAGGGGGCCCAACCUGUGAGAGAACUGUCGUUCUGAGGGGACCCAGCCUGUGGGAGAAUUGUCCUUCUGAGGGGGCCCAACCUAUAAGGGAAUUAUCCUUCUGAGGGGAUUGAGUCUGUGAAGGGAUUGUCCUUCUGAAGAGACCCACCGUAUGAGGGGAUUGUCCCUGCAAGGGGGAGUUUUUCCCCUAAAGUCACCCUGAUUACGAGCUGCAAUUAGAUUGGCAGGACCAGCCGCCGACGCGGACUUAGCGGUGUUGUGUUACAUUAAUGCUUGGUUUUAAAAUUAUCAUUCAUGUGCAUCUACAGAGACUGCGUGCUGAAACAGAUCGGAUUGGGGGUUUGGUUGGUUGGCUGGUUUUGGUUUUGUUGUGGAUUGGUUUGGUGUUAAAAUUCUAAUGGAGAUGGGCUGAAAACACACUAGUUAGUUGAAAGAAGCAGAGCGGUGUUUCUGCAAGCCGUAGUCGGAGAACCUAAUUGUAAAAGAAAAUGUUUCAAACACCUAAAGCUCUCAGCAUCGUCGCUGCUCACCACCACCCCCCAGCAGUAAAUGAACAGCAAAUCUGACCGGGCUGAUCCGAUAAUGGUGAGACAGUGACCGGCAGAACCCGGGAGAGGGUCGUGCUCCCAAAGCGGCUCUCCGUCAGGAGCAGCUCACAGCGCCUCAGGAUGUGUCACGCUUUUAUUACUUUCUAUUAUUGACACUUUAAAUUAGCGCCCAUUCUUCUGACUACGAAACGGCUAUGGCAGCAGAAACUGGGGCUGGAGAUGCUUUUGUGUAAAAAUGUGCAUGGUCUGAAAGAAAAGCCAAUUUUCUGGCAUUUCAAGGAAUGCUAUAUAAAUUGCACUUGAGGAAAACUGCAGAUAUAUUCCUGAUUUUAUAGAAGAGGUUGUAAUUGUAAGAAUGAAGUGUCGUGGGGACAAGGAGGCGUUUGUGCAACCAAGCUGAAUGGAUCAGGCAAUUGCAGUAUUAGAGGUCAUGUAGAAAAUGAGAGCUGCUGUUGUAGGGGCUUGUUCCUGUCACAUUUAAUGUUCGUUGAGCAGCUGUCCCGUUCUUAUGUUAACCUGCCUUUCAUCAAGCACAGGAACAGUUGUGCUUGGAUCUGUUACCUCGGAGAGUCUGCCCUUACACCAGGGUGUUACUUUGUCCUCAGCAGUUGCCAAGCUUUGCAGUUCUGCUUCUUUCCUGUGAGGUUAUUCCAUGGUCUAGAAUUCCUUGUUUUUCAGAAAACUUUCAUAAACAAUCUCUUUCCUAAUCAGCACUUUUCUCAUUGAAUUCAGCAUCAUGUAUUUGUUGAUUCUCUGAGUGCAUGUACACAUCAGAGGCUUUGAAACCUCCUAAAUCAUAAUUUGAACCAGAAACCAACUUUUAUUUCUCUUCAUUUGUGCAACUUUCAGUUUAUUAGCAUCGUUAUGGUAACAGGAGCUCCAGAAUGAAUUUCUGAAGGAGUUACACCAGACCUGUGUUAUGAUUUGUCACUUCCCAGCUCAGUGCAAUAUUUCUGCAUAUGGAUCAAACCACACAUUUUGCAAAUACAUAGUUGAUUGAAAUCAAACCACCCAGAUGGUUCAAGAAAUGUCUGUGUUUUGAUGGCAUAAUGUCUCAAAGCUUCAGCUUCAGAUUUUUUUUUUCUUUUUCAAUCCUGGUUGGUUUCUUUGUUUCUUUGUUUUGGUUUGUGUUUUUUUUGCCAGAUUUUACUGCCCAUUUACAGUUUAUAAUUUCAUACAGUGAUACAAGGGCAAUUGUUCCACUACUUUUCUCCCUUCUCUCUUUUACUUGGCUGGAUUUCUUCAGACUGUAGCCUGGAGUUUUUUCAUUAUGUCUCCUGGGCAGAAUCGCUCUGCUAUAUGCAGUUUCAGGUGCUCUGAUAAGGCAUGUGAGACCAGUGCUACAUGGUGGAAGCACUGGUGGAAACUGUAUCCAGGUCCAACUUGGCAGAAGCUUUCUGUCUUCCACAGUCUGUCCUGCCUCCUCAUCUCUAUUUCAGAGGAUGCAAUGUUCUCAAGCCUGCUGGGAUUGCCACUCAUACGAUCAUUCCUAAACUCAUUUCUCUCAAAAUGACCCUGCUUAUUUUAAGCAGUUUAAGGUGUGAUUCCAUGUCAUGAGUUUCAGAUCAUCUAAACUCUCUCCUUCCAUUCCCACCUCCACAUUCCCAUCUCUUUUUCCUAUGCUGGCAUUUUGCCCCAUCUUGUAUUGCCAACAAGACUGGUUUUGGCUGUACAGGUGACUGAGAGAGUUGGCUUCAGGACUGAGUACCUGUGUCAGGGGACAGUGACAGAAGUAAUGCUGUCCCUUCUGUUCCUACCAUUUCUUUCAGGAGCUUCAGAAGACUUGCUGUUCACUUUUUUUUCAGUGUUACAAUUUGCACUAAUUGUCCCUCUUAAUACCAAAUCCAUCAUUUGUUCCUGUAUGAAAUUAUCCUGUCACUUACCCAUUGAACUAGCAAUGUACUGAACUAGUGCUAAUUAUCAAAUUGAUAAAGAUAUAUAUGAUGCUUACAACAAUAUGUCUUUGAGUAUUCCACAAACCCGUGACAGUGCAGAUGUCAAUGCAGUCUAAUUUUAGACUUGACACAGUGAGUCUUCUGUUCAUUAGCUUUUGUUCAUUGUCUUAUAUCCAGCUUGAUGAUAAUCCCCUGAUUUAUUUUGGAUGGAUUUUUUGUUAGCUGCUAUAAUUGUAGAAUCCUUUGUAUAGUUGUAGAAUCCUUUAUAUUCCAUUUUAGAUGUAAGGCAAGUCUUUGGGGGAUAUGUUCAUUGACCAGAAGACAUUUGGGGUCCUUAGCCAGGUGUUUGCUUUGUAAGUUAUUUCCAGCAUGACUUGAGACACAGAAGAGAAGUGCCUGGAGCUGGAGAGAGAAUCAGGAAGGAAGUUUACAUCAAACAAGAUCAAAUUUGCUUGGAUUUGACUGAAUUUAGUAAAGGAAGGGUUUGCUCCUGCCUCCUUUUCAGCCAUCUCAGCACCCUACAGAAGAGGGCAACAUACUUUUAGAGUACAUGCUGUGUUUUUGCAGUCCUCUGCUGAAGUAGGGCAUUGAUGUGUAAGACUCAUUUUACUUUUAAUUUAUCUUCUUGAUGCUCACUAUCAGGCUACAUUUCCGUUGACUGAAUAACUAUGGAGUCAUUAUGAAGGCAAUAAGAACUGAGUUACUACCCUUGGAAGUGAUUAGUGCUGGAUUUUUGCCUCUUAAGCCUUCAAACAGGAUGUUACGUUAGUAUAUGCAAUUCCCUUCCCUGAUGUGCUGUCUGAGCACUCAAGCCAAGCUAUCAGUGUCCCAUUAUGAUUCAUGCAGAGCACUAAUCCCAAUGGAACCAAUGGAAGUAGAAAUGAGACCACAAAUGACAGUUUUCAUUGCUGUGCUCCUUUUUUUAAUUUUUUUUUUAAUUUUUUUUACAUGGAGUGAUCCCUCUUGAUGAAAUAAUAGACUAUUAAGUGCAAUCUAGUAGCCUGAUUACUAGGUGCUGUUAAAUCAUCAGAUCAUGGCUGGUGUCCUUACUCCUCUGUCUUUUCUUCUUUUCUUGCAUGUCUUCUUUGAAACACAGUUGGUUUUCAACAGACACAUAUGGUUCUCAGGAACACAGAUGUCAGGUUACAUGUGUGAUAGGCACAGCUCCAAAAUGAUCAUCAUGGAGGUUUAUCCCUGAAGCUGAAUUUUCAGAGCUGAAGGAAUAGUUUGAAGCUGAAGUGUGCAGCCUGGUUAUGAGAAUUACAGUCUAAACCAUGCCUUACAUGUGACCUUUGCUUUGGGAAAUAAAACCAUGGUUUUGAAACUGUCUAGAUAUGUAGAAAUGAGGCAAGGGAGUAUGGUAAAUGCCAGUCAAUGAGGGCUACCUCUUAGCUACCAUAUUUAUUAGCCUCAGCCUGGUGCAAGACACAGGAGCCAUUUGAAUAGGACAUUCACAAACCAUCUGUCAGCAUUGGCUGUGUUGGGCUAGUGAGCAGCAGAUUUCUCUCUUACUUGGGUCAUGUUCUUAUCUUUUGUUUGUCCACGUUUUUGUUGGAGUAGUACUCAGAAGCCUCAAGUGAAGAAAAUAACUGCACUGCAGACAUUUAUGAAGAGGUUGUUAUAACUGCUAAUGCUUCCUGCUCCACUGCUACAAACUCUGCCAUAGUGGAGCAAGAACCUGAACAGUUUCUGAAGGAAGUGUGUGAGGAAAUCUGAAUUUUAAGCCUCAUAAGGAAGUUGCUGGGAGAAAUGGAGAGAGGAAAGGAGAGGAGACUGGGAUUUCUAAGACUGCAUCAAUACUUUAAAGAGUUGUUCAGUACCGCAUCUCACGUAUAUCUUGUUCAUUCUUUGGCAGUCCUAAGAAAGCAGUUGCUGCCACUGCUGUUUCUGAAGUGGCUGAUGCUGCAGGUUAAUGUGCUUGCUGUAUCCAUCCCCUCAUAUGAAGGACAGGCUUGUGCAGAAUUACUCAAUAUUUCCCAGGAUGAAGAAAUAUUUUUAAUAUACCAGGGCAUGACUUCGGAUUGGACACCUAGGAUGUCAGACACAUUCAGAGGAAGACACUGCAACAGGUUUUCUGGUACACAGUUUGGUCAUCCUAAAUCCACUAUAUCCACUUCUGUACUUGCAUUGAGACAGGCCCAACUGGUGAUCCUGUAAGGCCUCUUUAUCUGUGUGUGGAGACUGAUCUAACAUACCUUAAGAGGUACUGCUUUUUGCACCAAGGAGAUAAUCCAAUUUCCAACUUCUGACUUUCCUGGAUUGGCAUAUUGCUUUGUGUAGCCAGGAGAUACAGACUUCCACAGCAAGUGUCUUAAUUUUAAGCAUGUAUAAACUUUUCAUGAAAACUUGGGAACUACUCUGACUCUGAGAUGGCAACCUGAAACCAGAAUUUUUCAUGUUAUAAUCAAACUCAUAAAUCUCCCAAACUUCCACAUUGAUUCUACAGUAUUACACUAAGCUUUUAUUUCAAAUCAUUCUGGCAGACUCAGUAUAACUUCCUCUGUUGUUUUAAAGAAAAUAUACUGCAUGUUCUGCCACUACCAUAAAGGGAUCACACAAUCUGUAAGGUCUUCAUUUACUGCCAUUCUCUUCUUUGGCUGAAGUGCUUUAAGGUGAUGAAACUGGGACAGUCAAGGCUCAAGGAGAAUUUAAAUGAUGUGUAGAUAUUGUGCUGGCCGUGUCCACUUGUGACAAUUUUAGCCAUGUGAUUUCUCAUUCAAGCUGCCUAGACCACCUCUAUUGCCACGGCUUUGUGAAGCCAAUCCUUGCAGUGCAACCCUCACAAAGCUGCAGAACAGCAGUGACAGCAAACAUCUUGCCACCAAAUGUGCAUCAUUUACCUGGGAACUUGAGAUUCUGACAGAUUUUGAAGAACUAGAGUGCAUCUGGAAAGAGUGUGAUAAAGAUCAGCACAGGGUCUCAUGGAAUGGGAAUGUGAUUUUAUAAACAAAAUCUCUGUAAACUGUUGACUCUUUCUUUUUAUGCUUUCACACCCACAUACUGGGAAAUACCAAAAUGUGUGUUUUUAAUUGGUCUGGCCAAGAUCAUGUGUGUGAUCACACAGAGAAUAAGGAUGCUGUUAUUCCUCAUUGUGCCUCUGGGCUUCUUGGUUGGCAAGUGAACUGAUUCUGAACUUGCUUUUUAUAUCUCUAGGAGGGAGUACUUUGCCUUCACCGUACUUCGCCUCACUGUUUUGUUUCACUCUUCACAAAUCAAUGAAUUUCAUGAAAGUGUAUAUUUUUGGCCCUGGACUCAUUCUUUGUCUUGUUUGAUACCCUAUCUUUAGGUCAGUUUGUUCUUCCUCUCUGUCCACAUAACUUUUUAACACAUCCAACUGCUUCUUCUGGUACUUUCACACACAGACAGAGACACUUCCACUCUUACUCCAUUAAUGCCAAUCUUAAAAUUUUUUUCACAUCACUGUAAAAUAAACAAGUAGCUCCCCCUACCUCUCUGAACACUUUGUUCAAGUCCGAGCCUCACUUUUUAUUUAAUGAAGAUUUAUUUAAUACAGCAGGAUAUCAAAUACACUUAGAAGACUGUCCCAGCAAGAUGUGACCCCAUUUACUCUCUGACUUUAGGAUUCUGUGCUAUUCCAGAGGGUUAUUAGUGGAACAGAGCCAAAAGGACAUUCAAUUAUUUACUUAAGUCUGAAAGGCCAGUGUUUCACAAGUACAGAGUAUGCUAUUAACAAGGAUGAAUCCUUUGGCAAUGUAUCCUUUCUACUGCAAAAUACUUGCCUAGUGGUACCCAAGACCCUUAUUACAAAUUCAUGAAUGAUUUUAAUGCAUCCUGGCAGCUUUCAGAAGCAUUGCAAUCAUGUGGAAGUAAGAAAGGAAAUGAAAAGAUCACUGGUUUGUGCAAAAUAAUACAGCUAUGCUCAUAUUUGAUCUAGUUGUCUAGUGGAAAAGGAAUAAUUGAACUUUUUUAAAAAAAAAAAUUAACAGACAUUUAUAUUACAUUCCAUCUCACCAGUCGAUUUAGAAGUCUUGUUCACAUAAGAGAUAACUCAAUAUAGAUCAUCAAUAAAAGACAAAGGAUGUCUAAAACGGGCACAGUCCUUGGUGUGUUGGAGGAGUUGUAAAAGCGUGUUGUAAACCUCAACUACCCCUUUCCAGAAAGUAAUACACUAACAGAAAAAUCUAGCUUUCAAGUCCUUUCAUUUCUUCAUAAUAUUUUGAAGACUCUCCCCAAAUUGUGGGUUUUUCUUAGAGCACUCUCAGCUUGGAGGCAGUUUUUGUUGCAGAGACAAAGGUGUCAGAAAGGAAAGUGGAUCUGAGAGUGAGCAGCAUUUUUUUUCCGUGGGGCAAUCUGGUGCUAAAUGAUAGUGGCACUUGACAAAUAACAUUUAUUGUGGUACAUGCUUGAAGAAGUAUCCAGUAGCUGAUUUCUAGUACAGUUUUGAUAAUAAUAUUUUUCCCAUUAAGCAUCUGUUAUGGAAACAAAAGAGAUAUUAUCUGAUCACAAGCCAGAGAGGAAGCAUUGAAUAGGAUGCAUUGAAAUGAGGACUGUUGUGUAUAACACAAUCAACCCUGAUGUAAAUCCAAAACUAAAGAUUCAGACUUUCAAAAUUCUAUCUCUUAUUUCUAUAGAGCCAAACAUAGCUGAGCUUUGGAUAGGGCUCCUAAAUGCUAUAAAAUCUCUUCCUUCUGUAAAGAGAUCAAAUUUGUCCCACUUGCUCAGAUUUACAGAAUAAAUUGAUUUAAAGAAAGCUUAAAAAUAAUAUCUCUAACCAGUCUUUCAUGAAGAAAUAAUUCAAAGUUUUACAGUUUGCUUUGACACUGAUAAAUUAUAUCAAUCAUCAUCACAAUUGUCUUCAGAAUUAUGCAUCUUCCCUCUCCAUUCAGUCAUGAGUAAUUUGCAUGGAGUGGUAUCAAAGAACAGUGUAGUGAAAUUACCCCAAGGUAGCUAAACAGUCUGAAAAAAUUAGGCCUGUACAUAAAGUACAGGUAAAUUUAAAAAGGUUCCGCAGACAAGAGACCCAUGCCUGAAACAGAGCAACAAGCCAGUAAAUAUUUAGGUUUAUAUUUAUUUACAAAUGUUUGUAGCAGAUGGUUACCAACAUUUCAUCAGUGUGGCUGUUUAAGCAACUUAAAAGCUGUAACAAACAGCCCAAUUUAUGUAGCAGCUCGCCUGCUUCAGCCCACUCUCACUUGCAUUACCCAGAAUGGCUCCCAUUACAAUUCAUCACAGCUAAGUAGCUGAAAAAGGAAAUAGUGCAAAACCAGGAAAGCAGCAUGGUUGUCCAAAACUAGAGAUCAGUGGUCUCCCCAUCACAGAUGCCUGCUUUGACAGAUACUUCUGUGCACAACAGUUUUCAGAAGAGUUCUCAGUCUCCCAUGUACACAGUGCACCUGGGUUAUUACAGCUUUUAGAGACUAGAUAUGCCAACACUACCUUAGGUGCUAGUUAGGUAUAAUUUCACCACUUUCUUUUUAAGACAGCACAUUUAGUAGAUGAACUAAGGUGGUCUCUUCUUUCCCCACAUUACCCUCCUUUUCAUACAACAGCCGAGGUGGCUUGGAUGGGGUGAUGGCUGACAGAUGAAGGUGGCUACUCAAAAGGGUGUCUGUGACACAUUUUGGUUAAAAAAUACUGUCUGAAGAAAAGAGAUAGAAAUGAGGGUCUCAGCUUAAUUUCCCCCAAAGAAGGCCUUACACCUAAAAAUAAUGCAUUUAGAAUUGUCAUAUAGAAUAUACAGUUUGGUAUACCUCCUAAUGAAACGGAGAGCUGGACUGCUCUCAAAUAUUUAAUUUGUUCACAAAUUCAAGAAUAAAGAUUAUCUCUUCAUAGGCAGCUGGACGAAACUACUAGUGAUGCCAGUGUAGAUAGAAGAAAACAUCAAUUUUAUCACCAUAAAAAGGAUGGACAGUAUAAGUAAACACUGAUUUAAAAAUGGAAACAGGAAUGCUUGAUUUGUAAACAUUUAUUGUGAAGCAUACUUUCGUGUUUCUUUGCUGGCAAGUGGUAAGGAAAAGGGUAGUUGCUGGUUAAAGAGAAUGUCACUGCAGGUGGCUCAGAGUAGAGUGUACCACCAUCAUUUCACUGUCUGACGGCCUCAGAAACCCAGGCCUCAGACUUGGUGUGGUGUGAGUGCACAUCAGUGUCUGAGAAAGUGUUAUUGACUGUACAUUUGCACUCCUUUGUUCUUCCUGGGGAAAUUCUCUCUACAGUGACAAUGUGCAACAUCAUACAAACUAAAAGGUUGUAGUUUAUGCUGAUUUAAUUGAUUAGGUUUAAAUUACUAAGAUGCUGAGAAUAAAAGGGGUUUUUUCCUUUUCUGUCUUUCAUUUAUAUGUGCGCUAAAAACAACUUUCAUAAGAAAAUCUCUUAAAUUAGGAGUGAUGUGCUUUAAAAUAUUCUUUCUGUGUCACUUGCCACAUUCCACAGCACGUUUCAUAUAAGACCACGCUGUGUAUGUUUAGAUACGAUGCUUGCCCACAGUACACUUUGCUGAGGUCCCCCCUCAGAGCUGAGGAGCUCCAAGCUUGCACAUUAGCCCAACGUGGGAACUUUUCCAUGUCACAGCGUGACUGAUGCUCCCAUUGACUCGUUAUUGCUGUACCCAUUCGUGUGUACUGGAGCAUUGAGCCAGUACCUCUAUGUGUGCCAGGACCUGCCAUUGUGCCACCCAUGGGAGCCGUGGCAUGCCUGGGAAUGACAGGGCUGUGGGUCAGGGAUGCAGGACUACUGACACUGGCUUGUCUGAACCCUCACUGCAGAUCUACCCAGUCCUAGAAACAGACAGGCACUGCGUUAGUUUUGGGUCUUAAAGCAGCUCCAGACUGAAAUUGCCAGACUGAGGAGGAGAUGAUGGAUGUGUGCAGGCUGAAAACUGGCUGGGAGCCCUGAAAACUCUCCAGUGUAGACAUCAGUGCUUUGGAAACUUUGGCAGCAUCUCCACUUACCUUCCACCGAGUGCUGAAUCAUCCUGCUCAGCUGGGAUGAGCAGCAGCUGGCCGGGGGGGGAUGCCAGGGAUGCUGCUGUGCUAAGGGGCAGUGCCUGGCUGGGGCACAAGGUGAGCUUUGAGGCUCAGGGUGAAUUUUGGGGUUUGGGACACUCUUGAUUCCUGGAUGGGAGCACAGACGAUCUCCCACCCACACAGGGCAGAUACCUCCAAAACCAGGCAGAGCCAAACAUGUCCAUAUCAGAAAAAGGAAGAUUCACCAGACACCAUGCAGGCAGACUUACGUGGUUGCCCUUUUCUCCCUUUGCUGCAGAGUGGAGCAAGUGCCCUGCCAUCUCUUGGGAAGCAGAAGCUGUGGGCCUUGCUGCUGGUGGAUGCAGCCAGUGCUGUUAGACUUGUCUUAGAAGUACCUGUAGGCUAAGAUUUUAGUUACAGGAAGAAGGAAAGGAAAGGGAAAAGAGGGGCGGAAAGAAGAAAUGAAGAAAAGGAUGGAAGAAGGGGAAGAAAAUUAGAAGGGAACGGAGAAAGAUAUGAAAGCACUGGGCUUCAUGGUCUCCUUCUUCCUUUUGUAUCCAGUGGUGUUCUGUGGACCCAGACUGGUUUUGUGGGUUUUGUGAGUGCAGAAGUCUGCACAGAGUUAGCUGUCCAUGCUUCCAUCCCUUGGGAAUCACACAGGACAUCCUCACCACCACUUUGGUGCAACACCUGCACCUUGGAUUGAAAUUGCCACAGGAGUGGCAGCUGGAAGUGAAACAGAGAGAAGCUCUCUUUUUUUCAUCUAAAGUAGUCUUUUGACAUUUUAUCUCCUUAACUGUAUACUGUGGAUAUGCAAAAGCAGUCUCAGCGUUGGUUUAAUAUUUCUGUUAUUGGCUGAUGUCUUAAGUUAUAGGUUUCAUAUCUUCCAGAUUCUGUACUGCAUUAGUAUAUAACCCUGAACUUCACAGAAGGUGUUAGCAAGUUCCCUUCACAGGGUAGUUAGACAAUACAAUCCUUUUCUAGCCUGAGAACCAAGGACACUGUUGCAGCUUCGGGCCCAAAAAAUACAAGCAGCAGCGAAUUGAGGAGAGCAAUCUGGGAGGAUGGGACUUCAUAACCUGAAGCUGUAAUUGGACAAUUAACCCUAAUAAUGAACAUGAUGUAAUGUUCAUAAUGUAAUAAUGUAAAUGAACAAAAACUCAUAAAAGU